AUUGAACGCUAGCGGGAUGCCGUACACAUGCAAGUCGAACGGAGUGGCGAACGGGUGAGUAAUGUAUCGGAACGUGCCCAGUAGCGGGGGCUAACUACGCGACAGCGUAGCUAAUACCGACUACUAUGGGAGCGGCCGAUAGCGGAGUAGCUAGUUGGUGGGGAAACGGCUCACCAAGUCGACGAUCCGUAGCCGGUUUGAGAGGAAGACCAGCCACACUGGGACUUAGACACAGCCCAGACUCCUACGGGAGGCAGCAGUGGGGAAUUUUGGACAAUGGGGGAAACCCUGAUCCAGCCAUCCCGCGUGUGCGAUGAAGGCCUUCGGGUUGUAAAGCACUUUUGGCAGGAAAGCGGUACCUGCAGAAUAAGCACCGGCUAACUACGUGCCAGCCGCCGCGGUAAUUC
rnacentral:rRNA from 1 species